rnacentral:rRNA from 1 species
GGGGAAUCUUCCGCAAUGGACGAAAGUCUGACGGAGCAACGCCGCGUGAGUGAUGACGGCCUUCGGGUUGUAAAGCUCUGUUAAUCGGGACGAAAGGCCUUCUUGCGAAUAGUUAGAAGGAUUGACGGUACCGGAAUAGAAAGCCACGGCUAACUACGUGCCAGCAGCCGCGGUAAUACGUAGGUGGCAAGCGUCGUCCGGAAUUAUUGGGCGUAAAGCGCGCGCAGGCGGAUUGGUCAGUCUGUCUUAAAAGUUCGGGGCUUAACCCCGUGAUGGGAUGGAAACUGCCAAUCUAGAGUAUCGGAGAGGAAAGUGGAAUUCCUAGUGUAGCGGUGAAAUGCGUAGAUAUUAGGAAGAACACCAGUGGCGAAGGCGACUUUCUGGACGAAAACUGACGCUGAGGCGCGAAAGCCAGGGGAGCGAACGGGAUUAGAUACCCCGGUAGUCCUGGCCGUAAACGAUGGGUACUAGGUGUAGGAGGUAUCGACCCCUUCUGUGCCGGAGUUAACGCAAUAAGUACCCCGCCUGGGGAGUACGACCGCAAGGUUG